CACACCGCCCGUCACACCAUGGGAGUCAGUUGCUCCAGAACGGCUGCGCUAACCCGCAAGGGAGGCGAGGUCUUUAAGGAGUGGCUGGUAACUGGGGUG
rnacentral:rRNA from 1 species